AUUUGAAAAGUGCAGAAGCACUUGUCAAACAACUGACAAAAUGCACAUCUUGCCGAAGUCGCGGGGAAGAGGAGGAGGAGAAGCGCGGUGCGGCCAAAAAAAUGGGCGCAAUAUACCGGCCUGCCGUGCUUAAACAAAUUGUUUCAGCAACGCUGCCAACAUCAGCAGACGCGCGUGGACCUCAACGGACCUGCGACCCACACCACGAGUCAACGGACCUGCGAGUCACCCCACACCUGCAGGCUGAAAAAGAGCAGGGGCCAUGUUUGGCCUCGAGGACAAGCAGCUGUUCACCAGCCUGACCUGCUGAAGAAUACAGGCCAGUUUAUAGCUGCAGCCCUGCGGGCCCAAGCAGGGAACCUGGUUCUGGGAUAGCCACGCAGUUGCUGUUCUGUUGGAGUGACCCUGAUGUUGUGGAACUGCAGCCGGGGAGCUCAAUCUUUGUUGAGGCACGGGCACUGCAAGCUGUGCUCAAUUCAGCGAAAACAUCAACUGCAUUGGCCCGGGGCUCCUCCCUGCAGUUUUCAACAAGCAUGCCCUCCUGACAUGCUCAAUGAAGGGCCAGAAGGCCAAAGGGGCACACAAACCAGUGGCCCAACGGCCUCCUCUUCACGCUGCUGCAAUUGAUGCAAUUUUAGCGUACACGAAAAGCACAGCAAUAGGGAAAGGGUGGGACUUCUCUGAAAAACUCCUGGUGCCCUCAAUGGGCACGAAGCUGGCUGAGCUGAGAGCUGAAGAAAAAAAAAAUGCAGUCCUCCAAUAAAACUAGUCGUUUUUACAGCAUUAUGUGUUUGUGAGUUUUGU